rnacentral:misc_RNA from 1 species
UUAACUUAUUUGUUUUUUACUCGGAGAUACCACUAUAAUACAUGAGAGUUUGUGACCUCCGACGGGCGCCCCGCACCCCGGAGGGCGUGGGCCGCGGCACCCCGAGGGGUCCCGCACCGCCGAAGCAACUUGGAUAAGUUCGCGAUGGUUUGAAGUUGCCUUUCGGCUUCUUUUAAUGAUCCCUCCGCUGGUUCACCAACGGAGA